rnacentral:rRNA from 1 species
AUACGGAGGGUGCAAGCGUUAUUCGGAAUCACUGGGCGUAAAGGGUGCGUAGGCGGUUUGAUAAGUCUGAUGUGAAAUCCUAUGGCUCAACCAUAGAACUGCAUUGGAAACUGUCAGACUAGAAUACUGAAGGGGCAGAUGGAAUUAGUGGUGUAGGGGUAAAAUCCGUAGAUAUCACUAGGAAUACCGAAAGCGAAAGCGAUCUGCUGGGAAGUUAUUGACGCUGAGGCACGAAAGCGUGGGGAGCAAACGGGAUUAGAAACCCUGGUAGUCC